CCUACGGGGGGCUGCAGUGGGGAAUUUUCCGCAAUGGGCGAAAGCCUGACGGAGCGACGCCGCGUGGAGGAAGAAGUUUUUCGGAAUGUAAACUCCUGUCAUCAGGGACGAAUAAAAUGACGGUACCUGAGGAGGAAGCAUCGGCUAACUACGUGCCAGCAGCCGCGGUAAUACGUAGGAUGCAAGCGUUGUUCGGAAUUACUGGGCGUAAAGCGUACGUAGGCGGUGACAUAAGUUUAAUAUUAAAGACCGAAGCUCAACUUCGGGAAUGUAUU
rnacentral:rRNA from 1 species